GGUCCGAACCCACGAGCGUUGAAAAGCUCGGGGAUGACUUGUGGGUAGCGGUGAAAUUCCAAUCGAGCCCGGAGAUAGCUGGUUCUCCCCGAAAUAGCUUUAGGGCUAGCCUCAAGGUGAGAGAUACGGAGGUAGAGCACUGAAUGUCCUAGGGGGUAUUGCACCUACCGAAGACUAUCAAACUCCGAAUGCCGUCAUCUUAUACUUGGGAGUCAGACUGUGGGUGAUAAGAUUCAUAGUCGAAAGGGCAACAGCCCAGAUCGUCAGCUAAGGUCCCUAAAUGUAAGUUAAGUGGUAAAGGAUGUGGGAUUGCACAGACAACCAGGAUGUUGGCUUAGAAGCAGCCACUCAUUCAAAGAGUGCGUAAUAGCUCACUGGUCGAGUGAUCCUGCGCCGAAGAUUUCCGGGGCUAAAACUUACUACCGAAGCUACGGCAUCAGUAAUGAUGGGUAGGGGAGCUUCCCAUACGGGUUGAAGCAUGACCGUAAGGACAUGUGGACAGUAUGGGAGUGAGAAUGUUGGCAUGAGUAGCGAGAUGUGGGUGAGAAUCCCACAGGCCGUAAACCCAAGGUUUCCAGGGGAAGGUUCGUCCGCCCUGGGUUAGUCGGGACCUAAGCUGAGGCCGAAAGGCGUAGGUGAUGGACAACAGGUUGAUAUUCCUGUACUACCGAUAACCGUUUGAGAGAAGGGAUGACACAGUAGGAUAAGCUAAGCACACUGUUGGUUAUGUGUGCCCAAGCAUUGAGGCAGUCAAAGUAGGCAAAUCCGCUUUGAUAAUGCUGGGAUGUGAUGGGGAGCGAAAUUUAGUAGCGAAGUAGCUGAUUUCACACUGUCAAGAAAAGUCUCUAUCGAGGUUAAAGGUACCCGUACCGCAAACCGACACAGGUGGGUGAGGAGAGUAUCCUAAGGCCAGCGAGAGAACUGUUGUUAAGGAACUCGGCAAAAUGACCCCGUAACUUAGGGAUAAGGGGUGCCACCAUUAGGUGGCCGCAGAGAAUAGGCCCAAGCGACUGUUUACCAAAAACAUAGGUUUCUGCUAAGUCGCAAGACGAUGUAUAGGAGCUGACGCCUGCCCGGUGCUGGAAGGUUAAGGGGAUCUGUUAGAGUAAUCGAAGCAGUGAACUUAAGCCCCAGUAAACGGCGGCCGUAACUAUAACGGUCCUAAGGUAGCGAAAUUCCUUGUCGGGUAAGUUCCGACCCGCACGAAAGGCGUAACGAUUUGGGCACUGUCUCAACAACAGACUCGGUGAAAUUGUAAUUCCGGUGAAGAUGCCGGAUACCUGCGACAGGACGGAAAGACCCCAUGGAGCUUUACUGUAGCUUGACAUUGGGUCUUGGUACUACAUGUACAGGAUAGGUGGGAGGCUUUGAAACCAGGACGCCAGUUUUGGCGGAGCCAUCCUUGGGAUACCACCCUUGUAGUACUGGGACUCUAACCAUAGGCCAUGAAUCUGGUCUUGGGACACUGUCAGGUGGGCAGUUUGACUGGGGCGGUCGCCUCCCAAAAGGUAACGGAGGCGCUCAAAGGUUCUCUCAGUACGGUCGGAAAUCGUACGUAGAGUGUAAAGGCAAAAGAGAGCUUGAUUGCAAGACAUACAGGUGGAGCAAGGAUGAAAAUCGGACUUAGUGAUCCGGUGGU
rnacentral:rRNA from 1 species